rnacentral:rRNA from 1 species
UACGUAGGGGGCAAGCGUUGUCCGGAUUUAUUGGGCGUAAAGGGCGCGUAGGCGGCCUGAUAAGUAGGGGGUGAAAUCUUGCGGCUCAACCGCAAGGCUGCCUUCUAAACUGUCAGGCUGGAGCACGGUAGAGGCAGAUGGAAUUCCCGGUGUAGCGGUGGAAUGCGUAGAGAUCGGGAAGAACACCAGUGGCGAAGGCGGUCUGCUGGGCCGUUGCUGACGCUGAGGCGCGACAGCGUGGGGAGCAAACAGG